GAUGAACGCUGGCGGCGUGCCUAAUACAUGCAAGUCGAGCGAACAGACGCGGAGCUUGCUCCUCUGACGUUAGCGGCGGACGGGUGAGUAACACGUGGAUAACCUACCUAUAAGACUGGGAUAACUUCGGGAAACCGGAGCUAAUCCCGGAUAAUAUAUUGAACCGCAUGGUUCAAUAGUGAAAGACGGUUUUGCUGUCACUUAUAGAUGGUUCCGCGCCGCAUUAGCUAGUUGGUACGGUCACGGCUUACCAAGGCAACGAUGCGUAGCCAACCUGAGAGGGGGAUAGCCCACAUGGGAACGGAGACACGGACCAGGCGCCUACGGGAGGCAGCAGUAGGGAAUGUGCCGCAAUGGGCGAAAGCCUGGCGGAGCAACGCCACGUGAGUGAUGAAGGUCUUCGGAGCGUAAAACUCUGUUAUUAGGGAAGAACAAAUGUGUAAGUAACUAUGCACGUCUUGACGGUACCGAAUCAGAAAGCCACGGCUAACUACGUG
rnacentral:rRNA from 1 species